GGGGGCGUCACGGCUUCGACGGAGGUGUGGAACCGUGGGAUGCGUGCCGAGGACUCCAAAUCCCUCGUAAAUCCUUUGGAAACCAAAUGUAACUGCGGAACCGCAGCUUGCACUCGCCGCUUAAAUAACGGCGACGCGUCACCCCAGAGCGCCCUCGACCGGGGAUGACGCGCCAUUCAGAGGGCUGGCCCCCACGUGGCGUCUCGGCGUGUGGGGGCGAGACAUACCGGGACUGGCUGUCAGGUUUUUCUCGUCGCUCUUCGAGCCUGACAGUGAGAUUUCAAGAGCGGACACGCACGUAGAGUCCUGCGGCGAUGCGCCCUCGGACGCGGGUUCGACUCCCGCCGCCUCCACCA
rnacentral:tmRNA from 1 species